GCAACUAUCAGCUCAGUUGGUUAGAGCGUGGUGCUGAUAAUGCCAAGGUUGCAGGUUUGAUCUCUGUAUGGGAAAGUUGCA